rnacentral:rRNA from 1 species
UCCGCCAAGGAGUGUGUAACAACUCACCUGCCGAAUGAAUUAGCCCUGAAAAUGGAUGGCGCUGAAGCGGGCGGCCGACACCAUGCCGUCUGGACAAGAAAUGUUUUCAGAUGAGUAGGAGGGCGUGGCGGCCGUGUCGAAGCGCGCUUGCAGAAGCGUGUGGAACGGCCGCUAGUGCAGAUCUUGGUGGUAGUAGCAAGUAUUCAAGCGAGAUCCUUGAAGGGCGAAGUGGGGAAGGGUUUCACGCGAACAUUGAUUGGGCGUGAGUGAGUCGUUCCUAAGCCGAGUGGCAAUUGCUAAUUAACGGCGAAAGGGAAGCGGGUUGACAUUCCCGCACACGGAUGUGGAGGCGGCGACGCAUUAUUGGGGCGAACACGCUGGCGAUGGCGCUGGGCAGAGUUGUCUUUUCUGUUUGACCGCUUGCGCACGCAGUGUGGAAUCCGCUUGUCGGGAGAAACACGCGUGUACGGGCAGAGCGCUGGGGCUUUUCCAGCGUCCAGCUCGCCAUCGACGGCCCUUGAAACUUUGCCUGCUGAAUUUAAGAUCCACGCCGUGGCGUACCGAUCACCGCAUCAGGUCCCCAAGGUGAACAGCCUCUGCUCAAUAUGAAAAAUGCAGGUAAGGGAAGUCGGCAAAUUGGACCCGUAACUUUGGGAAAAGGGUUGGCUCUAGUGCUGCGUGGGAGUGGUUGUCGGAUGCUGGCGCUUUUAGCGUGGCGGAUUGGCGCGGUACUCCUCUUUUGGGGCGCUGUUCCUGCUGCUACGCCGAUUGUGCCACGCCCGACGACGCCCACAGCAUGCAGCAGACUAGAACUGCAACGGGCAAAGGGAAUCCGACUGUUUAAUUAAAACAAAGCAUUGCGAGGCCCCAGCGGGUGUUGACGCGAUGUGAUUUCUGCCCCAGUGCUCUGAAUGUCAAAGAGUGAAGAAAUUCAAUGAAGCGCGGGUAAACAGCGGGGAGUAACUAUGACUCUCUUAAGGUUAGCCAAAUGCCUCGUCAUCUAAUUAGUGACGCGCCAUGAAUGGAUGAACGAGAUUCCCACUGUCCCUACCUACUAUCUAGCGAAACCACAGCCCAGGGGAACGGGCUUGGCGGAAUCAGGGGGAAGAAGACCCUGUUGAGCUUUGACUCUAGUCUGACUUUGUGAAAUGACUUGAGAGGUGUAGGAUAAGUGGGAGCCCUCGGGCGCAAGUGAAAUACCACUACUUUUAACGUUAUUUUACUUAUUCCGUGGGUCGGAAGCGGGGCACCGCCCCUCCUUUUGGCUCCAAGGCCCGGCCUCGCCGGGCCGAUCCGGGCGGAAGACAUUGUCAGGUGGGGAGUUUGGCUGGGGCGGUUCGGGACCGCCGGUGAAAUACCACUACUCUUAUCGUUUCCUCACUUACCCGGUGAGGCGGGGAGGCGAGCCCCCCGGCGGGCUCUCGCUUUUGGUGUCAAGGGGCGCGGGAGCGACCCCGAGCCGCGACCCGCUCCUCCCGAGCCGCGACCCGCUCCGGGGACAGUGGCAGGGGGGAGGUUGACUGGGGCGGUACACCUGUCAAACUGUAACGCAGGGGUCCUAAGGCGAGCUCGGGGAGGACAGAAACCUCCCGUGGAGCAGGAAGGGCAAAAGCUCGCUUGAUCUUUAUUUUCAGUAUGAAUACGGACCUUGAAAGCGGCCUCACACGAUCCUUCUGGCUUUUUGGGUUUUUAAGCAGGAGGUGUCAGAAAAGUUACCACAGGGAUAACUGGCUUGUGGCAGCCAAGCGUUCAUAGCGACGUCGCCUUUUUGAUCCUUCGAUUGUCGGCUCUUCCUAUCAUUGUGUAGCAGAAUACGCCAAGUGUCGGAUUGUUCACCCGCCAACAGGGAACGUGAGCUGGGAUUAGACCGUCGUGAGACAAAGCAGAAUUCACCCAGGUGUUGGAUUGUUCACCCACUAAUAGGGAACGUGAGCUUGGGUUAGACCGUCGUGAGACAGGUUAU